UACGGGGGGGGCAAGCGUUGUUCGGAAUUACUGGGCGUAAAGGGCUCGUAGGCGGCCAACUAAGUCAGACGUGAAAUCCCUCGGCUUAACCGGGGAACUGCGUCUGAUACUGGAUGGCUUGAGUUUGGGAGAGGGAUGCGGAAUUUCAGGUGUAGCGGUGAAAUUCGUAGAUAUCAGGAGGAACACCGGUGGCGAAGGCGGCUUCCUGGACACUGACUGACGCUGAGACGCGAAAGCGUGGGGAGCAAACAGG
rnacentral:rRNA from 1 species